CCACCCCCACCACCAGCCCCAGCAGGCCCGCCCCCACGCCGUCCGCAGGCCCUCCGCCGAGGGGCUGCUCCUGGGUCGCCCGCUGCACCUCCACCAGCCGGUGUUGACGGCACAGGAAGCGACAGUUGGGGCGCCUGGGCUGCUGCAGGUGCCCAUCAGAGGGGGAGCCACCAGAUUCUGAGGCCUGUCCUGCGAAUUGGCAACCUCUGUGCGUCUGUAAAAAGUACACAACAAGCCAGGGAAGCAUCCAAAGAGACUACUCACGCCAAACAAAGAAAUUCACUCUUGUCACGUUUGUUUAUUUCUAAUGAAAUGCUCAGAAUGCAUUAUUCUCUUACGUAUAUUUUACUGUGAUAAAGUACAAUAUUGGGUAUACGUUUGUAUGUGAGCCAAAUGAUGAUACCAAAUUUGUGUAAAUAAUAAAGUGAUUAUUUAAUUCCUUA